rnacentral:rRNA from 1 species
UAACAAUGAUUUCCCUAGUAACGGCGAGUGAAGAGGAAAGAGCUCAAAGUUGGAACCUGUUUGGCCUAGCUAAACCGGAUUGUAGACUGUAGAAGUGUUUUCCAGGCAAGCCGAGUAAAUAAGUCCUUUGGAACAGGGCAUCAUAGAGGGUGAGAAUCCCGUCUUUGGCUUGAGCAUUUGCCUUUUGUGAUACGCUUUCAAAGAGUCAGGUUGUUUGGGAAUGCAGCCUAAAUUGGGUGGUAAAUCUCACCUAAAGCUAAAUAUUGGCGAGAAACCGAUAGCGAACAAGUACCGUGAGGGAAAGAUGAAAAGAACUUUGAAAAGAGAGUUAAACAGUAUGUGAAAUUGUUAAAAGGGAACCGUUUGGAGCCAGACUGGCUUGUCUGUAAUCAAUCUAGGCUUCGGCCUGGAUGCACUUGCAGGCUAUGCCUGCCAACGACAAUUUGACUUGAGGGAAAAAACUAGGGGAAAUGUGGCCCACUUGUGGGUGUUAUAGUCCCUUAGAAAAUACCUUGGGUUGGAUUGAGGAACGCAGCGAAUGCUUAUUGGCGAGUUUUCCAGGAAGGUUUUCUGAGGUACUACGGUAUCAAGGUUGAUCUUUUUGGUUAUACUUCUAUUCGCUU